GGGUGGGAAGAAAGACCAGGUUAGGACGACAAAGCACCGCGACCAGCACUCUUGCGCAUAUAAGCCAGCAGGGCGCGGGAAUUGCUUCGUUGGCAAACAAAAAGGAACUACGUAGCGUAUCUUCGAAAUGAGAGAGCAGAAACAAUGUACUAGACCUUACACAGUCAAUGCUGCUGCCACACGGCGGCAGUCCAUUCUCAUUCAUGUCUGCUGGUGCUAUUCGAGUCGCGGCUGCUCCUGUUUUGUUAAGUGGAGAACUAUCUCGUCCGCCCCACCGUCGCCGGUGGAUUGUGGCGGGCACUGGCGACAGUGUCGGCCUCCAAGCGGACCCUACUGGAAGAAAAUGCCUGAAAGAGGUUUGUGUUGGUACAAUAUGUACGAACGCUUGACGUAACCGUCAAAUGGCCUGCUCUCACUUUUAUCGAAACCGUUCCUGCCCUUGAUGCAGCUGUAUGAUGCAGUUUAAAGUCAUCACUCGUUAGCUGUUCCCGUCUCGGCUUCGGAGGCCAGUCGAAAAGAAAUGGGUCAAAAAAACGAGGCAAGGAAGAAUAUAACUAUAGAACGAUUGUAAGAGUUCCAAUUCGACUAAUCUCAUUAUGAGGCGUUCUCAUAACUUGAAGAGAACGGAUGUCAAGUCCAAGCAUUGUCAUAUAGAACUAAGCGCGAAUGACCAGCCAUUCGCACAGUGCGUAAUUUGUGCGCAACGGAACGUGGUUUGAUUUGGUGUAUUUGAUUUGGAACUUUUAUUUAAAUUCUAAAAAUAUGAAUCGAUCAAUCGUAACAAACGUUCGGAUGGUUAUUUUGUGUCAGUCAAUCAUCGAACACAUGGCCAGGAGUGCUCGAGCUUCUGUUCCAGUAAGGAGCGAUGUCAACUUGAAGGGAACGACCAUUUAGUGAAGGCGAGUAGUUUUCAAGAGGCCAGAGGAAUAGUACGUGUAACAGGUGCGGUUGGCUUUCGGUCUGUUUGAGAAGAAAUUGCUUCCGAAUAGAUAACAACUGGACUGCAUCUUCAUAACUCAAGCAAUACAAUGUAAAAAAUAUACACCUGGCUCAAGUUGAUCCUAGUGAAAUUUAUCAAUCCGAAUAGCGGCAAACUUUAAACUAACAUUACUCUCAAUAAGGUUGAUGGUCUUAAUAAGUUUGCAGGUAUUUAUUUCCAAGGUUCUUUCAAAGGCAACAAUGUUUCCUGUAAAGCGCCUCAUACUUAGAGCAGGUUGAAACGAAUUAGAUACAAUAUCUCUGUAUCCACACAACUUUUUGACGAAGCAAGGCUACUUGCAAUUUCUGUUAAAACAAACAGAAAGUACAGCUGCACACUUUUAGGUAUACUUCCCUGAUUACCAAUGUCAAAGUUUUCCUACACGUAGAAUAUAGUUGACAUAUCGGCAAUUAGAUUUUGUAUGGUUACGCGAAAAGGCCACGGAGGUACGUAGGGUCGAUAAAAUAUAGCUUGCCGUGCUGACUACUAGACAUCCAGCAAUUAUAGAGGCAACAUAGAAAUACGUUAUAUUCGGCGCAUGACGCCGAAACAGGUUCAGUCGAGGCAUUUCUUUAAAGCAUGCCCACGGAGCACAGACUACGAGGUCGUUCCAUCCGUUGGAAAAGCGUUGGGCAACAAGUUGGAAUUCAUGUAGAAUCACCGUUUUCGGUACGGAACGAUGACUCGAUUCGUCUGUGACAUAAAACACUUUGAAAAGGUCACCACAGAAAGGUCACACCAUUUAUGCGCUGCACAUGGAGGCGUGGAAGUUCACAUGCGUCAUCUUAUCACUAUUUCAUUAUUCGGUGCAAUGAUAUGCUUUUCAUGAAAUUUUAUCUUACUAUAGAUUGCACAGGCAAAAUGAGCGUGCACUAUUAAAGCGGUGUAUUUACAUCCCUGCACGUUGCACGUGUACCUUAUACUAGAAAAACGUCCGGUAGCUUAGGUUAAACUAGCUGAUAUUUGCAUUUUACCCCCGAAAGUAAAAUAGUCAACGUGGAUCAACAUUCGCUAUGAAUGAUAUUGUCAGUGGCGUUGUCCCGAACAUGUUUCCAGUGUACGUAGUACGUCGAGUACUAUUACCAGGCUAAAUAAGCAGAAGUUCGCACUCGCAUAUUUGUUCGGUUAUUCCCUUCGUUCCACGCUGUCCAGAAUAUCCACACACAGAUGAACUCUUAUCUCAGCCUUCCUUUAAUACCGAUCAUGAUAAGCUAGCUGUCAGAUAGCAAAUGCUUAUAUGACACAGUGCCCCAGCGACACCCGCCCCGAAGCCUUUCCCCACCUCCCGCGAUCGUGCCAGCCCCAAUUACAAUAAUAAUCAGUGUAACAAUGUCUGCACGGCAUGAAAUAACAAUACAGUUGAGAGAUAGUUGAACUGCGCCCUUGUCGUACGGAACAAUGUAACGUCAAGUGCAUUGUAGACAGCACCCCCACAAUUAGGUGAGCACAAGGUAAAUGACAGAAGGCUAUGGGAGCAGACGUUCGUGCGCUGUGGGAACGAACGCCUAUUAACGUAGGCAGCAUCUAUACGACGGUAGUCUAUCUAGAAUACUAGAACGACGACAUUGUGGUCAGUGACGAAUAGCAGCCAGUAGAGCUCGGUCCACAAUGUUUACAUGUUGGUCGACUACAUACAAAUAUACACACAGCCCUGACGCAGAAAGGAUUCGAUGAAGGCAGACAGGCAUGCAUAAAAGGAAAAUUUGGGUAGCACAAUUUCGCAGUUCGGUUACGUAAAGCUAGAUUAGGAUAGAGCAAGUCUCUGUGAUAGUUUAGUAGGUAACGUAUUUGCCUAAUAACUCCUGGGACACGUUGUGAUCUAGGUUCGAACCUAGAAACCUAGAUGUUUCUGUCUGAGCUAAUGUGGUUCACACAAAAACUUGCGCAUAACAACAGUGCGUGAAUCAAGGAAUACAGGUUCAAAAAGCUGGAAUGCGUCAAAACAAUCGUUGUUCCACUCCUCGACCACACAAUUUAGCAAAAGAUGCCUUAUCGUGCUAUAACGUUUUAAUUCCCAUUGUUCAGGUCGAAAACGGAUUUAAGUUGUAUGUGAUAGCAGCUGACUUUGAAGGCAUACACCAUCUAAUGUGUCUCGUGGUUCAACCAAGCUAUUCAAAGCAACAUGCUGAAUCCUAGAUGAAAUCGACAGUAUUAGCUGGCACCCAUUUUAGUGAGGCGCUAGAAUUCACAAUCGGUGACGACGAGGCCGUUGCAUGAACUGCGGAUGGCUUGGCCUUAGGCUUCCGCCUCGGUGCCUGUGAUGACGGUGAUCGGUGUGAUGACUACUGAGAAAUAAAUGCAAACGUCUACUGGGAAUGUAUGCACCCAUCUGUGGCAACUUCUCCCGAUUUCCAUAACUGCCGCCUCUGAGGUUCACCGUGAGGGGUCAUUUGCAUGCAUAGGAGACCUGGCGCCUGCCCUAGUAACUGAAAGGUGGAUGGACAAACGGCGCCCGGGCUUUGUUCUCCAGUUAGGCAGCUUGACGUAUUUUCUUAGCUACCCCCUCGAAAAAUGAUUGAGACAAAGGCUACAUUAGUUGAAGGGCCUUUAACUACAAAGGUUCAGCUCGUCCUCAUUCGUUCUGUUGCUGCUAAUCGAAACGCAGGAUCUUUAUAGGGUGGGACAAUAGGGGCAAUAUAGUUAGAGCCGUAACACUCACCAAUGAAGUUAUAAAUUUAAAAAUAGCUUUUCUUCGGAUGAUACCUCCUAGCUUUUCAUUUUGUUAUGUAGCGCCUAGUAACAUGAAUAUUUUUGUUUAGAUCUCCGAACAAUACGAAAAAUAAAUAAAAGAAACUUCUUUCCCUAAGCUUGUCCUAGCUCCGUGUCACCAAUCGUAUUGAGCUAAAACCUGAUCGAGUUAAUUAGCUAAAGGUAGAAGCAUCUGUAAUUGGACACACAUUUGGAACAACUUUCAUUACAAAAACCUAAUGAGAUACAUAAUGCUAGCCUAUAAAGGUGCUAGAUAAAGUCAAUCUAGACGCCUGAGAGUGGUAGACGAAAAUUAAGUCAAAUCUACGUACAUAUAUAAGAUAAGAAUCAACGUAUGUCCUGAUAUUGACUAAGCCUGAGUCCCAUAUGAUAUUACAUAAUUAGCGUACAAAAGUAAUCAUCAGUAAAAAAAAAAAACAUGGAUUAUAAAUCUAGUUUUUCCGUCCUAAUUCAGCUCGACUUCUCACACUAUCGAUGCCACGGAACCGCCUGCCGCUAUAAAAUAGUUCUCUUUACGUUUUUUUGCAACAAUAAAAAAUACGUAUCGUAAAAUUGUAGGGUUUGGGGUGUUGGCCCGCUUUUCCUCUCACCAAGUUUUCCCUUCCAACCUCCAAUGUUUGCGUAUCUAAAUUUAACUCAGAUCUUAUGUUAUCUCUGGCUAAAUAUCCUUUAUAUAUUCUUAAGGGGAUCCAAGAGCUAUUAUUUUUAAGUGGCGGUCUUGAUGAGAUACGCGCCUUAUUACAGGCAACGUACCUACUGCUUGUGCAGGAAGAGCGUUUUUAUGGAAUUAGAUGGAUAAGCGAGAACGCAAAAUGCAUAACCUUAUACAUUUAUAAAUGUGGGCGUUUGCGUCUAGCCGUCUACAUACGAACAUGUCAGACCGAAAAUUUAAAAAAAAAAGACCAAGAGCCGAAUCACAUCACCGCAGCUUACGUUGCAUAUAUAUAUAUAUAUAGCGAGAGAAACAUAGAUAUCGCAAUCUAAGGUCUCUAUGAUUUUUCGUAGCUUUCAAGAUUGUUCCGGCCCUUUUCCACAGAAAAGUUACUUGUAAAUGAUUCACUAGAUCUUAUCGAUAUUGUCGCAAUGUUACAGUCCAGUCUUGUCCAACCUAGAUUCUUGCUUCUGUCGAAUGACAUAUGUGUAAUAUUCCAUAUAUAUAUAUAUAUACACUUUGUUAGUAUUAUUUACCGAGCGAAAAAGGUCAAUGACAUUAACUAUAAGUAACGGUAUUAUUACAUUUAUUAGAAUAAGCAUCCAUAGUUAUAAAAAUUGGACGUUCGAUUUUUGGAGCUCGUAUGUGCAACCAACAUUUUACUGAGAGUAUGUCUAUAUAUUAUACCUAAGACAAAAAACACAAUACAUCUAUAAUCCUUUUUUUUCAGUUGUAAUAUUAUUUUGUCUAAUGGCGGCCUGCAACCGUGUGCGUGUCCGCCAUUUUGUAUUGGCUAAGAACCUCAUGAUCGCAUUACAAUGACCCGACAUUCAAUAAUCGUACGUUUUCAUACCGCAGUAGCUAGAGCGCUUCUCAAUCGCACGCGGCGUGCAGCUGUUUUUGAAUUGAUGCGCAUCUAAAUACGCUAACGAAAUCUAUUAUUAAGUUGUUCUUCGAAUUGGUCCGGAAAAGUUAAACGAGACAGGCAUGGACUGUAUCGCCUGAUGUUUGCAACGAAUUCAAGUAAUUCCACGAUGAGGACGCUCUGUACAUUCUGAACAAGCCACAGGUUCGUGGCUUGGCAUAUUCAUCGAUGCGGCACGCGUCUGUAUGUAUUCCACAAGCUACAUCCUCCUCCGCCAUGUCUCAGCAUGUAGCUUUUCACGGAAAGCAUCAGCAGAAUUAAGAUCCUGAGGAACAUCUACAUUAUACAGAUACGACUUCGUUCAUUAUAUAACUAUAAAAUAAAAUUUCUAUCCCACUGCCCUUUCAGUGCUCAAUUGGGCAGUCUUUAGCUACACUUAUUGUACUAACGUUUGUACAAAUAAAUUUUUAUUUAAUUUAUUCCUCCGCUUAUGAAAGCUGCUGUUUAUUAUAUGUGGUUGCUCUUGGCACCUCUUGCUAUUCGUAAUUAUGAUCACUAGUGAUUGACAUUGAUUAAAUCAUAAGCGAACAUAAUUAUCGACACCUUCGAGCAUUUAAAAUGUGCCUUAGUUCGUCGUUGGCCCAGGCUAGUCGACGUAAUAGGGUUAGAGCUUUGACUAUCCUGAGGGAUUCGAAUUUAUUCAGGAGAUCUUUAUGCAGAUUACGAGGCAGAUCCACACUCCUCGGCUUUUUCGUUGGCCUAUCGAUAAAGCUUCUCCCCAAAGCCAGGCCUCGGAAGUCACUCUACUCGUGUAAGGGACUGCUUAACGUGAGCAACAGAAGUUUUUCAAAGCGUACUGAUAACGACUACUGGUAUUCAUCGGCGUCCAAUCUCAGCCCCUUCGAAGAGAUAACGUGGCGGACCCGCCGAAAAGUUCAGCUGUUUGCUGUAGCCGUACGAGCGUACUAAACAUGUAUGGUUAUUUAGAUAUUGAGUACUGCGGAUCAGUUAAGUUAAACGAACACAACUUAUUGUUUAAAACUGUUAUAUAACCGUUUGACUAAAGUUAUUUCGAACGGAGAAUAUAUAAACAAACUACGGAAGCUCGAAACGAAUCAUCCUGGACUU